rnacentral:hammerhead_ribozyme from 15 species
CAGGCGUAUAAGGUAGGCUUCCACUACAAUGCCUUACUGAUGAGUCCAGUAGUGGGACGAAACGCCAU